CCGUCCCAGCCCGCAGCUCCCUUUGUUCUUCCCCCCGGCUCCUUCCCCUGCCCGAGCCCCCUGACAGCUGCCCCGCGCCCUCCCGGUCCCCCCGUGCUCGCUGUCACGGGGGUCGUGGGGCCGGUGCCCGGCUCCCGGUGCUGCACGCCCGCCUCCCCUCCCUACCCGCUGCAACUUCAUCCUUGCCCGUGGCUCAGAGGGUCCCGCCAACCUCCCACGGGCGCCUCGAAGGGAAUAUAAGGUCCAAGGGGUGCAAAGGCAGGGGGGCCCACGCACCUUCUUGCAGGAGGUGCCCCACUGGGGGGGUCCAGGCUCGGGGAGCCAUGGGUGCAGGGGGCUCACCCUCCCCAGCAGACAAAGCACCGGCUGGGCCCGGGGCAGCUGGAGCGGGGGAUCGGGCUGGGGAUGGACGCAGCAUCCUUGGAGCUGGGGGAAACUGGGUGCUGCAGCUCCAGCACAGGAAUUGGGGCUGCAGAGGGGUGUCCUAUGCAGGGGGGUGUUCCUCUGAAGCACACACACACCCCCCCCGGAAAGCAUGCUGUGGCUGGCUGCCCUGAUCCUGGGCGGCUGGCUGGCCUCUCACCUCCAGCGGUCUCUGCCAGCCCGCCCGCCCGGGAUGGGAGAUAAGAUAACCACCCUGGGGCUUCCUCGGCUUGGGCAGCUCCCGGUCCCCUGGGUGCAGCCCUGUCUGGCAGGGACCAGGCGCCGCGGCAGGAGCCCGUUGGCUUCUGCCAAGGCUGGUGCCGCAGCCGGAGCCCAAACGAGAGGUGGUGGCCGGUCCCUGGGUGCCAUGCAAGGCAAAGGGCUUUGGAGGCUGCGGGGUCCUGCCGGGAAUCGCCUUCUGGGGCAUGGAGCUGUGCAACCACCCCACACUGGAAACCCCCAGCUGCUUCCUUCUCACCAGGAGGGUUGGAGCCAGCUUGAGGGUCUCCAACGGGUCAGGCAGGUUGUGGGAGCAAACACCCCUUCCCAGGUUCUUCCCAGUUUCUCUCCCCAUGCUUUUGAUAGCAUCUCAUCUUAGUAGUUUUGCAGCGACUCCUCCAGCCCCGGUCAGGUAUCGGCUCUUACUGCUUCUGUUUUAAGUACGGGUAAAUUUCAAUAUGCUUAUUCCUUCUUUAAAACCUCAGGUUUUGGAAUGUUCUCAUUGUGGGAGAAUUGUGGUUUUCACUGAAGGAGAACCAAACGCGGUCUCUGCUCUCUUGAUUUUGUAGAAACCCCAGGUCUGCGAUCCGAGCAUGCCUUAAAGUCUGGGGGGGGAAGUGCUGAGCAGAACGAUGCGCAGGUUGUGUUGUUUCAAAAAGGGAAAGAAAAGUUGUGAUCGGAGGGGAGACAGGCUGGCGCCGGAGGGUUUGGUGAUACAGGGUUUUUGCUGUUGUGCGUUUGGUGGGGUCUUUUCCCCUCACCUGCAGCAGUUCACAAUCCGUGUAAAAUAGGGAGAGGCCAGUGAAAAGCCACAGAAGUUCACCUGGAGCAAAGGUGCGCUGGGCUGGGGACCUGGAGUCUCUUCCACUUUUUUUUCAGAGAGCGGUGAGAGCUGGCAUCCCUGAGCCUCCCCAGCCCCUCGGGGUGCGGGAGCGGAGGGUGAGGUGGACCAGCCCAGCCCCAGGGCUCCUUCCCUCUCCUGUGGCUGGCGGGGUGGCAGCAGCGCUUGUCCUCCCAGCAUGCCAGUCUUCUGCGUGCUUGCAGCUCUGCACCGGCGUGAGCUCAAGGUCUGCAUGAAAAGUACAAACACCAGGUCCUGUGCGGUGGCAGGACUUCUCCUGGCCCUCUCUCUUGGAAACCUCCCGUUCUCCGAGGCACCCGGGGACAGGGUGCUCCUGCUGCUGUUUGCAGUACAUACGUGUGUGUUCGUGGGUUGCAACGCUUGCCGCGAUGAGGUUUGCUACCCCACCGGUUGCUGGUUUGGGGAGGACUGGUGUUGCGACCAGGGAUGCCCGGCCGAGAGGGUUUCCCUGGGGCCGUGUCGCGAUGGUGGAGAUGGUUUCUACACCUGGGGCUGGGAGUUCGGGCUGGAUCGCUGGUGCCUCUGGAGGACCAGGCAGCUGUACUCGGCCGUACCCUGUCCCUUCGCUCCCUGGGCUCUCAGUCCAAAGCCCUGGACGCCAGUGACAGCACGUGCUGCCAGUGCAGCAGCGUGGUGCGAGUCCAGCAACUGCCAGCAUUUGCUCUGUCCCCAGCGCUGCCAGCGGCUGCCCUGUCCUUCGCUCAGCCACUCCCGCGUCGCCUCUUAAACCAAGUUCUAGAGAGAAAGUUCAGCCUGAGCACGGGGGGCAGAGACUUGUCCUGACAGCUCGAAGAUGCGAUGGCGGUACUUGGCAAGCUGCAGCGAGCAGGUUCCCACCAUGCUCGCACUGUCCCUCCACUCCACAGGCAUCCGUGAGUGGUCGGGACCCUGGGGCAAGUGCUGCACCCCAGCGUUGAGGUUUGCCCCCCGGGUAUGCGUCACCCCGGUGUGGCCAGCUGGAAGGCACCAGCUCCCACCGACGCAUCCUCGCAGUGGGAGUUAUCCAGCUUUUUCCCCCCCCCCGCCCCCGGAGCGGGCGGCUGGCUGGCUGCCAGGGCUGCGGGGCUCCACCUAGGAUGCAACAUGGAGCGAGGCGGCUGUCGGCAGCGGGGCCGCCGUCUCCGGAGACUACGCGUCCCAGCGUGCAGCACUCGGCAGGAGCCGUUGGCAGCGGCGUGGAAGCGAGGUGGAGCGUUGCAUCCCGGGAUCGAGACUCUCCAUGCGCCACGUGGGGGGCUGACAGCCUCCCAUGCGCUGAGGUGGUGGCACUUGGGGGUCCUGUGGGUCCAGGGGAUCAGCCCCGGGGAUCCCCCUGUGUGGCUGGAGGGACAGACCUCAGCCUCUCCUCGACGCUUCCCUGCCCUGUGGCUCUCGGCUCCAUCCCUCCUGGGCAGAUCAUGUCCCUUCGGAGGGCUGCCCUGAACAGCAGCCCCCCAACGCCGUGCAGAGCCAUAGGGUUUUGCUCCACCACGUGCGCGGCGGGCAAGGAGCCGGGAAGCGGGAGCAGCGAUGCUGGCUGCAGCCUCUGCAGGGCCACCGCCGUGGUUGGUUAUGGCUGUGAGUUCUUCCUUGCUGCUGCAGAGCCUCAAAAAACCUUUGAAGAUGAAAAUCCUAGUUUGUCGGGAGGCUUUUUUUCCAUGGGAUGCUGAGAAGGGGUUUGGUUUUUCCAGCCCUGUGGUUCCCACACUGUGGUGUGUGUUGGUUUGCCGCUGCUGCCCCAGUGCGUGCUGUGGGAGGGACGGGAGCUCAGUCGCUGCAGGAGCCCCCAGGGUGGCAGGACCUUGGUGUGAAAGGGUCUGGGUGAGAGGAAAAGUGGCCAAAAAUGCGAAAGGUGCAUUCCUGGGGUUGAAACCAUCAGCGUUUGAUUACGGAUCGUCUUUGAGAUGGCGAGCCCAAAGGAGUAAUUAGGGACAGUGGGAUAUUUCCCCGAGAGUCGUAGGAAAUGACUGCCUCGUGGUAAGUUGAUAGUAGUGGAGCUGAAACUGGGUUAUCUGUGGGAUUGCAUCUGGGGCUUGCAGCCUUGGACGUGAUUCAAUUUUCAGGCUGUUUUGCAAUUGGCAGGGCGUGCUCUUCUCCCGUUUUCCCUCCCGGAGAAAUCCCCGUCCACGUGUCUGAAUCAUCUGAGGGACGAGAUGGGAAGGGGGAGACUCCUGCCAUCCCUAGGGUUACCACAGAGCAGUGAGGUCCCCUGGUGCUCCCGCUGGGUGCCCAGCUCUGCAGGGUGCCUUCCCGGGACACCCCGGGCUCCAGCAGAGCUGAGGCUGCGGGACCACUCUGAGCCUUGACCCUCAAAUCCAUAUCCCAGCCCGGGCUCUCCUCGCCCGGCGCUUUUCGGGUAGCGCCGCCUCGCAGCCUGCAUCAGGUUUGUCACUUUGUAAUAAUUAACUGCAGCUAAUUAUUACUUCUCUGGCCAUCCCCCUGGCAAGCCAGUCGAUGGAGAGGAGCACCCGCUGGUCCAGGGCGCGCUGUGUGCUGCAGCGGGGGCCUUUCGCAGGAAUGCUGCAGGAUGUCGACCUGGAGCUGGGGCACGCGUCCCUCCCCGCUGCCUUGCGCGCAGGGGACACCGUGCACGGCCGUGUGGUGCGGGCAGGGAGGCAGCUCGUGGUCAAGAUAAACUCCGUAGCCAGCUCGGAUGUGUGGCUUAAGAAAAGCGAGAGGGUAAUCCCUGUGCUCAGCAGGGUGGGGGUGCUGCGGGUUUCGCCUCCGUGCGGGUCAGGGCCAGGCGACAUGCUGGCCGGGUUCACUCUCUGGAUGCCGCUGGGUCUGUGGAAUCGUCCCACGGUCUCCUUCAGGAGCAGUGUCUCCUCUUCCCCGGACAGCCCGGCCUCCCAGCAGCUUUGGCUGGGUCGGUUCUGCAUUUUCAAAGCAAUUGGGGAUGCUGCAAGUUGAGGGCGUCACUGAGCAUGUCUCGGACCAUACCUUGGUGUGUGCUGCCUGCGUUCCUGUCAGUUUAAUAACAACAUCGGGGUUUGCAACUGGCCUCGCUCCAUCCCCUGUGCUCUGAAGAAGAGGAGAAAGAAGAGGUGAAGGCAGGUUUGUGGGAACUGCUCUGUGUGCUUCUGCCUGUCCCGGUCUCUCUGGACACUUCUCUGUGUUUGUCCCCCAGCCCUGCCAGCUUCCCUGACACCAGGCACCGUCACUGGGCAAAGCCACGUGAAUUAUUCCAAACGCUGCCCUGCACCCAGCUCCGGAUAGCACCCUCUUGGGUAGCACCCUCCCGGCAGCCCUACCGGCGGCGGGGCUGGGCUGGGAAGAUGGAUUUCCUGCUGCUGUCAGGGCUCCCACACCCCAGCGAGGCAGCCCUGCGAAACAAUGCCUCUAUUUACACUUUAAAGCCUCGUUAGGCAGCCAGGAAGCAGCAGGCACGGUGCAUGCCGGGAAGCAGCGACAGCCUUUACACGAAGGCUAGCCCCUCUUCUUAGCCGCCGCAGCCGGCGGGCUGCUGGGAGGAGCAGGAUGCUCCCUGGCUGAGCUGUAACCCUGCGGCCUCUUUCAAGCCCUGCUUCUUCAUUUAUUUUUAUCAUUUUUUUGUGUGUUUUAGCCUCUGGAGUCCCUGCCUUGUCGCUGAGCUUUGCUGCUUGCACAGAAAGCCUGCUGGCUGCUCGGCCGGGGACGGCUCCUCUCUAGGAUGGGGAGCACCGAUUCCUGCCGGUGGCUGCAGGUGUAGGAGCGAGAUGCGGGUGCCGCUCCGCCUUUGUCCUCGGCAGCUCUUUGCUCUCUCAUGGGAAGAUGGGGGCUUUACUCCCUGCCAGACCUCGGGGAAGGCUCUGCCUGUCCCCUGCCCGGGCAGGCAGCUCCCCGGCCGGCGCUGGUCUCAGCUCACCGUGCCCUGCAAUCUCCUGGCUGUGCUGGCUCCGUGAGGUGCCCACAGCGCUCUUGGCUCUUGGGAAACCUGUCAUUCCCCAGCUCUGGGGGCUUGGUUUGGGUUUUAACCGUUCCUGCUCCAGUGAACCCGCUGGGCAGUGCACCAGGACAACAUUCCCCUCAGGGCUGGCAGCUCGCAGGCAGGGAAAGCGGAGGAGAAGGCAGGCGGAGGCUUGGGCAGCGCCGUGUUGUACGUGAGUCACUGGCAGAGCACCGGCCUUCCCUUCCCCGGGCACCCGCCUGCCUGGAGCUGCUUCCUUGUCCGAGCUCUUGCAGCAGCUCCGUGCGGUGCCAGCCAGCUCCGUCCUGCCCCUGGCCGGGGACCUGGCCUUGGCAGAGGGUGCUGAGCUGGGGCAUCCCUCCAUGGGGUUCCCUUCUGCACCUCCCCCCCGAGGAGGAGCCACGGGGCCACCCACCCACCUGUGGGCACCGCACUGUUUGCCCGGACCUGCCCGGGCUGGUAGCUCACCAGCUGCAGCGUCAGCCUCAUUUUUUUCCCCUUGCCGACCGUGCACGUGUUUUUGUGGUGCUGGGCGAGCACCCAGAGAUGGCCACGGGAAGCCUCUCCUGUAGGCUUUGGUUCAGCAGGGCCAUCAGCCGCCCAGCAGCACCUCUGCGUGCCGUGCCGUCAUGGAUCCUGCCUGGAUCCUGCAUGCUCAAGGCAGGAAGCAGAGCAGGGGCACGGGGAGACAUCGGCUGGGCUUGGCUUGGGAAGGGCCGCAUCCUGCGGGUCUGGGUCACUGUGCCUGGUGGGAUGGGGCUUGCAGGGAGCUGGGGGAGCAUGGAGGGGAGAGGCGGUGAUGGAGGGAUCUCCCGGACUGGGCGGCGUGACCCUUGUGUGGGUAAAAGCUGGUGUUGGUGCUGCUGCUGCUGCUCUAAAGUAGUUGCGUUAUUUCGUGUAAUGCGUAUAGUGGGAGCAUCUCCGGUGCAUGUAGAAUUCAGACAGCCUGUAUCAAAUCCUGAGGCUAUUGUUAGCAGUAUUUAAAACCACUGAAUCCAGUAACAUGUUUUACGCUGCAUUAAAAAUAAUACCUGGUCAGGAUGCCUGUGUUGCUGAGGUCACGUAACAGGCUCCUCUCCGCUCCUAUAGAUCCUGAGAUAGGUCACUCGGUGAAGCCCCAAAAGCAAGUUGUUUCCGUAUUAACCUGCUCGGGAAGGCCCAGGAUGGAAAUGGAUGCUUGGGGUCAGAGCAGUGGGCUGGCUCGUCUGCUGUCCAGGACAGGGGGUUAGGGAAGAUCAGGAGAAGCAGAGCAGAUGGAGAGUGAUGUGUCCCCCUGGUGUCACCACCCCAGGAGACCUUCCUGCACCCCAAUAAGCGAGAUGGGGACCGAGGACAGCAAGAAACCUCGGGGGCUUUUUGCUCCUGUCUCUCAGCAGUGAAUAAAAACAAAGCGUCGGAAGACGAGAUCUGCUGGCUCUGAUUUUUUUAUUCCCCCCGAGGACACGGUGACCAGAAACAAGCAGUUCAGCUCCCUGUCUCCAGCCGCUGCUUUCCCUGCCUAAUGAAUCGGUUCAUUUUCAAGAGAAGACACGUGCUUUUGGGAAGUUCCCUAUGCAUCAAGCACACUUCAACAUCGUGUCACUUACCAGCAGCGAGGAGGAAAUGGAAAUGCUGUGUUUCCAGUGCAAUUUCAGUUGAAUUAUAAUUUCCAUUAGGCACAAGUUGACAGGGAUUAAAGCAGAAAGCAAAAAUUCCCUCACACCAGCGCCAACCUCCCUAGCAAAAAAAAAUUUUAUCUAUGAAAACGUUAGGUAAGAGCAAUGGGCUGGUGUCGUUAGCAGCUGUAUGAGAAAUUGUGCCGUGCCCCACUUAUCCUCGCUGCAGGCGAGCGGGAGCGAGGAGCGGGAGCAGGAAGCCCCUGGCGGAGCGUCUGGGGUGGCUCUGACCCUGCGGGACUGGUGGAUGCUGGGGAGAGGCUGGGUUUGGGUUUGGCUGCCAUGGGGACACACGGUAAAAAGGCACCGAGGGCUCCAAGAAGACGAGAGUCGAGGGGUGAAAUGCAGGUUUCACCGUGUUGCAAGUCGGAUUUAACGCCUGGGAGGUGACUCCCUCUAUUUUGAACCAGCCCUCGCUUACUCAGCCACGUGUGCGACCCCCGCAACUGGGGGCUCGGGGUCCCAAGCGACUCGUCGGGGUGACAGCAGUGUCCUGGUCAUUUGGGCUCCUGUGCGGGCUAACAGGUCGCAGUGAGCUGGACAUCUUGUGUCCCAGUGCUGGUGGCUCCACUUUCCUUAACCCUGAUGCUUUUUGCUCCCCUCCUGCAUGCAUCGCAGCUGGGUGACAGCUCCAGUCCUGUCCCUGCACCCUUCCCCGCGCCCUGGUGGUGCCUGGCACCUCCCAGACGAUUCCCUCCACUGCUGGGCUUGCUUUCCACAGCACCGGGUGGCAAUCCUGGCGGCUCGUGGGCGUCGGGAAGCACCCGGCCUGGGGCAGGGUGGCCGAUGGGGAUCCCGCUUUGGCCCCGGCUGCAGCCGGCAUCCCGGCACAGCCGGCUUCGUGGCUCCCGCCGGCAGCGGGGCGGUGGGAGACGUGCCCGCGCACAGUGGGGCCGGCUGAGCCGGUGGAGCCGGAGCUGCCUGGCAGCCUGCCCGCCGCUGCACCCCAUCCAGGUCAGCCCGUCUGCCCGGCCGCCCGCCGGGGCAGAGCCGCGUGCCUCAGCAGCACCCGGGCACAGCAUGCCGGGUCCUGCCAGCCGCGGGGCCUGCCGGGGCUCCCCCGGGGCGCGGGGAGGGGUGAUGGCAGCUGCCGCUCCCAGGAACCUGCCCCGGUGGUGGGAGGGGGCUAGUGAGUGUGGGAGCCCCCGGCUGCCUCUCUGGAGCCCGGAUGGGGCCGGCUGUGCCGGUGUGGCUGGAUCCAGAGGGCAUCCCUGUCUCCCAUCGGUGGGAUCCCCUGGUUGCUUUCAGGGAUGGGUGCUGGCUUGCACACAUCAUACACCCCGUUGCACACCCCUUCACACCCCAUGGGCUCCUCAUCCCUUGCCCUGGUGCUACAGGGGGCACUGGGGCUUUGGGGUGGUUUGAUCGGGGCCGGGGGCUGGUGUGUGGGAUCUCUCCCUCCGCCUGGAGCCGGCUGGCCACUGGCCUGCCCGAGCGGCAGAUGGUGGCUGCCUGGGGACCCGCCAUCCAUCCCUCCGGGUGAUUAUUCACCCGUCGCCAUGACGAUACAAAGGCUGUUCCUCUAAGUCGUUCAAGCUGUACUCGCCAAAGGAGCCCCCGAACGGCAACGCCUUCCCCCCCUUCCAC